UUGUUUUUAAUACCUGAAUAAUACUCGACUGUGUAAGUGUAUUAUUACAUUUUCUGUAUCCAUUCCUCUGUUGAAUGACAUCUGGGUUCUUUCCAGUUUCACCUGUUUGGUUGUGUUUUCCUUUAAUUCUUUAAGGGAUUUUUAUGUUUCCUCUUUAAGGGUUUCUACCUGUUUACUUGUGUUGUCCUGUAUUUCUUUAAGGGAGUUCUUUAUGUCCUUAUUAAAGUCCUCUAACAUCAUCAUGAGAUGUGAUUUUAAAUCAGAAUGGUGCUUUUCCAGUGUGUUCAGUAUUUGCUGUGAUGGGAGAACUGGUUUCUGAAGAUGCCAAACAGUCUUGGUUUUUCUUGCUUAGGUUCUUGCCCUUGCCUCUUGCAAUCUGCUUAUCUAUGGUGUUAGCUGGUCUUGCUGUCUCUGACAGUGGCUUGAUCAUCCUUUAAGUCUGUGUGUCAGCACUCCUGGGAGACCCACUAUCACCUUGCAGGAUUUGGGUACAGAGAGCUGUGGCACAUGGUCAACUCUGGGAGCACAUGGAAACUGGAAGGAUCCUGUCCCACACUGCUUCUGGGCUCUUGUGUCCUGAAGGCUCCAGGUGGGUCCCUCAGAGCAAAAGUGGUAGUCUUACCUGUGCUCCCAGGUGUGUCAUCACUCCUGGGAAGCCCAGCUUUCUCCCAGCAGAUCUGGGCACAUAGACCUGUGAUGUGCUUUCACCUUAUCUGCAAAGGCCACUUUUUCAGUGUGAGCUUUCAGUCCAUAGCACAAGCUUUGUUUUAGCAAAACCCUUCAGUGAACAUUUCUUAAGCAACCUAUGCCAAUCUACAAAUUUUUUCCUUUUUCUUUACAUUUAUUUUAUGU
rnacentral:lncRNA from 1 species